rnacentral:lncRNA from 1 species
GGUUCGUAAGCAAGCUACUUACCACACAACCACUCCUACGCCUAUAUAUUUAUGAACGUUAUAUCUACGAUUAUGUUCUUCUUUCAGGGAAGAAGGUUGUUAAUCUCAAUUUUUCUUUUGAACAAGGCUAGAAAUAUAUUUUAUAAUAAUGAAAGAAUGAAUUGUUUCCAAUUUUGGCAGAAGGCCAGUAAAUUUUUUUGGGGGUGGGGGGUUAGUUUAUAUCACUGACUCCAGAAGGGUCAAAGACAAAGUUGGCACUGUUAGAAUUUGAACUUAGAACACAAUGAUUCAGAAGAAAUAACACUAGGCAUUUUGUUUACUGUUCUAAUUAUUCUGCCCGCUUGCUGUCUUUAAUAAAAUAAUAAUGAAUUCCAUAUAUGACUAUCAGGAAUCAAUUUGACCAUUUUUCUUUUAUUGCAGUAUCCCUAUUAUAAUACAAACAAUUUCAUCUUAAUCUCUCUGAUAAUUCCUCACCAUUCUCUGUCUAUAUACAUACACAGUUCCAUUCUGUUGGGUUUUCUGUCUCCUCCAUGCAAUCUUACUCUAAUACCAUUGUUCUUGAAUUCUAUUAUUCUAGAAUUCAGUUAUUCUUCAACUUGAUUAAUACUGAAUUCUAUUAUUCUAGAACUUUAUUCUUCUUUGUUUCUUUUAUUCAUCAAUUCUAUUUUCAAUGAAUUCCAUUAUUCUUGAAUGACUAUUAUUCUACUAUUCAAACCUUCCUGAAUGUUCCAUUAUUCUUGAAUUCUUAGAAUUCUGUUAUGACCAUUUAUUUGUUGAAUGUUCUGUUAUUAUUCUUCAAUGUUCUCCACACUCAACUCUCUACUAACAUGCUAGACUCCUAACAUUUUCUAGCCGGCAGUUAUGGUUCUCCAUCGUUAAGACGUUCUAAAGUGGGUUCGUCUAUGAUUAAUCUGUCAGCUGCUGGUAACAACUCUCCUUAUGACCAUUCUGAUAUUGGUUCCAAUGGAAAUCUGAGUCGCAGCAAACGGCUGAGUAUCUCGUCCCAUAAUCUGUCCACCACAAAGUCUUCCCGGACGCCAAAGUCUCCUGGAUUACAAACAGGAAAUUCUCGGCCAAAGACUCCAACGAUGAAUAGCAGUAGCUCGAAACUGUCGACGCCAGGAACUACACUGGUCCGACCCAACAGUACAACACCAGCCAGACCCAACAGUACGACACCAAACACAUCUCGAAGUACAACACCAGUUGCACAGAGGAUGGGUGCACAACGGCGCCUGCCAACCACACCAAAGUCUUCAACCCCAAAGACCCCCCUUCGUCCCAGAACCCCAACGGCACACAGAUAACAUCUAAAAAAUCUGUAACAUGUGAAAGGUUUUUUUGUUUUACCAACUCAUUUGGACAUGAAGAUGUAAUUAGUAAAGAUAUUUUAUACACCCAGCUCAUAUCUGAAAUGGUUGCUGUAAAUACUGUUUUAUAUAUACACAGGUAUAUAUGUAUAUAUAUGAAAUAGGAUGUACUAGAGAGAUGUCUUGUAUCAAUGAAAUAUUACACACAUUCUAUCACAUAUAUGUAUAUAUAUACACACACACACACACAUACAUACAUACAAAGUUGUUUGAUCCUAAGGUCAUUCAGUGCUGUGCCAAUUUAGCAGAACUUCUGCAAUUCACACUCCAGAUAUUUCUCACAGACAUUCUCUCUCAAUUUCCAUAUUUUCAAUGUUUUAACCAAUUAAAUUUAUCCAAUUCAGAACAUUAGUUGUGGUUAGUGCAACAAUUUAAUUCAACUAAUUAAUCAAUACAAUAAUUAGUACAAUGACAUAGAUUUUAAAAAAUGAUAAUCACAUGAAAUAUUAUUCCUUAGGGUGGUGGGUUAGAAGAAUAUUUAGAGCUAUGAGCAAAAUGCUGCAUAUUGGGCUAUACCAGUCAUAUACUGAGGUGAUGGAAUUAAGUAUUAAGGCACUGUAGUUUUAAGAAGUAAAAUAUAAAUGGUCUUACCGUGAUUACUUUUUACUUUGAAGAUUUUUAGUUCAAAUCACACCAGGGUCGACUCUGCCUUUCAUCCUUCCAAGGAUAAAUACCUGUGAAAUGUUGGAGUUGAUCCAAUCAAUUGUGACCCUUACUUUACAAUUUUAAGCUUAGUGCCACUGUGAGAAAUAGCAAUAAUAGUAAUUAUUAUUCAUCUUGUAUUUUGGUAGAUUUAUGGCAGUGUAGAAUUAAAGAUUCCACAUUUCAUCUUUUACAAAAAAUUUUAUCAGAAUCCAAAAUAUUGAUAUCUAUUUGCAGAAAUCUGUAAAGUGUUUAGAAAUAGUAAAGAAAUUACUUAGGAGAAGAAAUAUUUAAGAAACUACUUUAUGAUACAACCACCACAGAUAUUUGUUUUUUUUUAAUUUUUAUCUCCAACUAUUUAUAUUUUCUCUAAUAGAAUUAACAUUAUAUAUGUAUAAACAUAUAUAAACAUACCACACACACAUGAAAAAACUUUUUUUUCAUGUUGUACAUAUGUGAUAUUUUCUUCCAAAUCUCUUUUAUAAUAUCAGUGAAUCAGAAUGAAUGAACCAACUUCGAAAAUGGUGCAAAAAACAUCCAUAACUCUCCACUAAUUUAUAUAUCCACACACCCGUUCUCCUUUUGGUCUUUUUUACCUUUUUAUUAAUUUAUCAACUUCUUCAGCCUUAUACCACCAUAAAUGUUUACAUGAGUUUUCUUCUGUUUAUCUAUAAUAACACACUGAAUCUUGUAAAUUAUUUUGUUAUCACACAAUUCAAUUUCAAAUCUAUUUUUUAAUUGAGUUGGGGGCUGAAUUACAAAAAUGAAACAAAACAAAAAAAGUGGGUUUUUUUUUUUUUUAAUUUAUAUAUUUUUGUAAUUUAUUUCUUGUAUUCUAAAUAUUAGAUCAGCUGAGAUGAUGGGUUAUGCGCUCUGGGAAACAAUUUUAUAUCCAGAGGAACAAUUGAUGGGAGGGGGCUCUAAAAAACAGAAACAUUCCAUUUUUAAUGUAUAUUAAGCUUCAGGUUUCGUUCUUCAAUUUUAACAAAUCUUUAUCUUCAUUACAAGUACAGUAAUUAAUCCAAAUAAUUUUAAUUUGCUCAAGUUUUAACAUUUUUAUUUGAAAAAAAAAAAUGAACCUUGUUAGAUAUGUGUGUUAGAUAUAUCUAACAGUAAUGAGGUUUUAAAACAUUUGAGCAGCUUUGAUAUAACUGUUUUAAAGAAGCCUUUUGAAUACUCAAAAUUAUUUAAAUUGUAAAAGCGAGAACUUGUUUUCGAUAAGUUGCUGGGAAUUUAGUUACCUUCUUGUGUUAUUGGUUCUAAGCCAAUGUUAUGCUUUGCUAUGUAAAAAAAAAAGACAAAAAACAAAAUCGGUAUUAAGAAACUGUCAAUUAACUUUCGGCUUACACAGAAAUUGAUUUGAAUUUCCAUGCUCAACUCCAGACCAUGCCAAGACUAGCAGGAAGGGAUUUCUGAGGAAUACAUUGAGCCUACCUUCAGUAUUACUAGAUUCCUGUCAAAACAAACAAAAUUCAAUGAGUUUCAAUUGUUUCGCAAAACGGCGCCAAUUCUUGUGAUAAUUUGGACCAAUCUUUAGUUACCUUCAAUAAAUAUCAACACAAUAAGUUAUAUUCCAAGAAAUAAUCUUUUAAAAUACUUUUACAUGAGUAAAAACGUGUGAUAUUUUCCCUGGCCAAAUUUAAUUCAUUCAUUUUUUUUAUUAUUAUUAUUAUUAUUAUUUUUCCUUUUGAUACUGCAGAAAAAGAAAGUUUUAAAUUGUGAUUCACAGGUUAUCUGCAUUUCAAAAAGACAGAAUCUGCUAACUCUACCGAUAUUUCUAACUAAAAGAUCAACUCCAUUAAUAGCAAAAAUAUUUGUCUCCCUAAAUAUCAUUUUAUUAAAUAUUUCAAUAUCAUUAAAUAUUUCAAAAAAUUUUCUAAAUUUUCUUUUCUCUUAUCCAUAAAUAAUCUUUUCUAAAUGUCCACUCUUAACAGUCCAUGUCCAUUCUGACCCGUGUCCACUACAACUGUAUUUAUUCUUUAACCUAACCACUAACAAUACUAGAAUCCGAAUUCUCAUUCUGGAACCAGAUUUUUUCCUUUCACUGACCAUCUCCAGUAGUUUGGCCAACUCUCUCUUUCUAAUGACCUUUGAAACAUGUCCAAACCUUAAAGGUCAUCAAAUUUAGUUUACUAGUGCCUGCAGAUGACCAAGAUGGAACAGUGAAAUACAAAGAUGUUAGUCUGUCACUCUCAGCAGUUAGUGUUUCUUCAUACCAGUUUUUACAACGGUGUUCUCCAUUCCAUGUCAAAAAUGAGGUCGAUCUUUUGUUUUAAAGUUCCGUCCAACUCAUGUUCACAUAGAAAAAGGGAGACGCAAGCAUUUUUUUUUUUAAACUAAUGUGAAAACUUAAGAUUGUUUUCAUAAUUAUUUUGACAUUUUUGAUAAUUUUUUUUUUUUUUUACAAAAUAUUUUAAAACAUUCUGUGAAACUGUUUUGGUAGUAUUUUCAUCUGCCUCAACAAUCCUUAAAGUUAUUUGUAACCAACUUAAACAGGAAAUAUCUCUACAAAAUUCACCAGAAGAAAAAAAAACAUUUAACAAAGAAUUUGUUGGUCAUUUCCAAUUUAACCUCUUUGGUGUGGGAUGGGGGAAAAGAAUUCUAGGAAGAUUUCAAGGGGGUGGGGAAACGAACUUUCAUUGUAAAUCAGGAACUGUUUAUUGGUAUGUCUGUUAAGUGAACUACAGAUGAACUAUAACAGCAAAUUAUUGGUAUAUCUGUUCAGUUGUAAAAGUUUUCUGUAUAAAGAUCAGCAAUUAAAAUAUAUAAAAUGCA